GAUGAACGCUGGCGGCGUGCCUAAUACAUGCAAGUCGAGCGAACAGACGCGGCGCUUGCUCCUCUGACGUGAGCGGCGCACGGGUGAGUCACACGUGGAUACCCUACCUAUAAGACUGGGAUAACUUCGGGAAACCGGCGCUAAUACCGGAUAAUAUAUUGAACCGCAUGGUUGAAUAGUGAAAGACGGCUUUGCGGUCACUUAUAGAUGGAUACGCGCCGCAUUAGCUAGUUGGUAAGGUAACGGCUUACCAAGGCAACGAUGCGUAGCCGACCUGAUAGGGUGCUCGCCCACACUGGAGCUGAGCCACGCUCCAGACUCCUGCGGGAGGCAGCAGUAGGGAAUCUUCCGCAAUGGGCGGAAGCUUGACGGAGCAGCGCCGCGUGAGUUAUGACGGUCUUCGGAUCGUAAAACUCUGUUAUUAGGGAUGAACAAAUGUGUCAGUAACUAUGCACUUCUUGACGGUAACUAAUCAGAAAGCCCCGGCUAACUACGUG
rnacentral:rRNA from 1 species